rnacentral:rRNA from 1 species
AUACGGAGGGUGCAAGCGUUGUCCGGAAUUAUUGGGCGUAAAGCGGAUGUAGGCGGUUUGUUAAGUCGGAUGUGAAAUCCCUGGGCCCAACCCAGGAACUGCAUUCGAUACUGGCAAACUAGAGUCUCGGAGGGGGUGGCGGAAUUCCCGGUGUAGAGGUGAAAUUCGUAGAUAUCGGGAGGAACACCAGUGGCGAAGGCGGCCACCUGGACGAUGACUGACGCUCAGAUCCGAAAGCGUGGGGAGCAAACAGGAUUAGAAACCCUUGUAGUCC